AUUGAACGCUGGCGGCAGGCUUAACACAUGCAAGUCGAGCGGGGUGAUGGUGCUUGCACUAUCACUUAGCGGCGGACGGGUGAGUAAUGCUUAGGAAUCUGCCUAUUAGUGGGGGACAACAUCUCGAAAGGGAUGCUAAUACCGCAUACGUCCUACGGGAGAAAGCAGGGGAUCACUUGUGACCUUGCGCUAAUAGAUGAGCCUAAGUCGGACUAGCUAGUUGGUGGGGUAAAGGCCUACCAAGGCGACGAUCUGUAGCGGGUCUGAGAGGAUGAUCCGCCACACUGGGACUGAGACACGGCCCAGACUCCUACGGGAGGCAGCAGUGGGGAAUAUUGGACAAUGGGCGCAAGCCUGAUCCAGCCAUGCCGCGUGUGUGAAGAAGGCCUUAUGGUUGUAAAGCACUUUAAGCGAGGAGGAGGCUACUUUAGUUAAUACCUAGAGAUAGUGGACGUUACUCGCAGAAUAAGCACCGGCUAACUCUGUGCCAGCCGCCGCGGUAA
rnacentral:rRNA from 1 species